rnacentral:misc_RNA from 1 species
AUUGGUGAAACUGAACUACAGUCUGUUCAGAGGCCAUGUGAAAACACAAUCAUGGCAAUGGCUUCUGGCUGUGAAGAAUCUGAAAAUGGCAAUGGGCAAGUAUUAUUGGUGAAUCCUGUUGUAUAUGUAGCUGAAGAAUCAGAUUUUGGCCAUCAGGAAGCAGUCUUGGGAACUCUUGUCCUGGAUUCUACAGCUAAGGCGUCAGAUCAUGGCCAUGAUGAAACAGUCGUAGCAAGUAAUGCUCUGAAUUUUACAACUGAGGGAUUAGAAAAUGGCAGCAGUGGUGAUAAAAUGACAAGCCAUAAUGGGGUUUCUGUGUCUCAAUCAACCAGGAAAAUUGAAGAUGAAUCAUCUUGCAACAAUAGGGUGGAGACUAAAAUUAUAACCUUUAACUCUCUCUCUUCACCACCAACGGCAAGUGGGGGAGAGGAUGAUUCUCAAAAUUGUGGUUCAGGACGUACUGAGACUUGCUCAUUCCUGCCAGAAGAGACAAGCACCGAGCCAUUAUCAAGUCAACUUCAAUACAGCCUUGGGGAGACAAGUUUCUCUGCUGCAGUACCUCUAUCAGGUCUGAUAAGUUAUUCAGGGCCAAUUGCAAAUUCUGGCAGUGUCUCUCUUAGAUCAGAUAGCAGCACAACCAGCACCCGCUCCUUCGCAUUCCCCAUAUUGCAGUCCGAAUGGAAUAGCAGCCCUGUAAGAAUGGCGAAAGCUGACCGUAGGCAUCACCGGAAACAUAGGAAUUGGAGGGAGGGCCUUCUUUGCUGUAGAUUCUGAAUGCUUUUGUUCUGUCCAUAGG